UCUAAGGUCGAGGCCAUUUGUUUUCUGGAUAAGGUGGGAGAGGGAAAGCAGCACAACUUUCGUGUCAGAUUAUCCAUCGUACCAAUAAGGUCACGAUUAUACACGAAGGGAGUCGGGAAAUGACGUAUUUCCGGUUGUGUCCGAGCCCACCUUCCUUAAUCUGAGGAUUCACGGACUCAAUCAUUUCGUCCGUGAUCAGCCAAUGAGUUGGAAGUGUCCGCGUUUGCUAAUUUGUUUUUCAAUCGUCUGAAUUAUAUUUCAAAAGUGUGCGUGAAUAUUUGUGUGCGGUAUGUUGGCAAAUGCCACCAUCUAGAUAGAUUGGCUAGAUAUUUCCCACCCGCAGCAAAUUAUCGCACCCAAGCGCGACGCAACCCCCCCCCAUACGGACGGAAUAUUCCUGCCUGGCGAUCAUCACCUGCCAGAAGCGGACCGAUCCGUCGCCAUAUCGGUCCAAGGGAAGGCCAGGGGGCCUCCACGUGGACGAGAUCCACCAGCCGGCAAGCAAUCGCCAUCGCGCCGCGUCGGCUUCAUUAAGAAGCGUCAUCGCCGGCGUCAACAAGCCGGGAGCGUCGACCCCACCGUCAGGUCAUCGACUGGGUCAGGUUACGUAAAACCCACAACAAACCGGUGAGUCAGCAAACUUUUUUUGAUUGGAGUGCGGCGUCCGAGGAGGGCGCCGCGGAGGAAACGUUUUUUGUGCCAGUCGUAGACUGAUGACCCAAAUGUGCUGCUAAAGCCAAACAUUUUUUCGCGAGUCGGAAAGCCUGCCGACCAACGCUUGGGUCUGCCAUCACGGACCCGUGAAAAUGCGUGCGUGAGCCCGUUUUGCCACCACCGAAAAAUCCCGUCGAGUAGUAGGAGCGCAGACUAGUCAGCAGCUGCGCUGCCUGGAGGAGUGACGUCACGUAAACAUUAGGCACAGAGCACAAGUGAGAAUAGAGUAGGAACUAGAAGAGAGAAAA